rnacentral:rRNA from 1 species
CCAGCAGCUGCGGUAAUUCCAGCUCCAAUAGCGUAUAUUAAAGUUGUUGCAGUUAAAAAGCUCGUAGUAGGAUUUCUGGCAGGAGCGACCGGUCUCACAUUCUGUGUGAGAAGUUGUGUUGUCUCUGGCCAUCCUUGGGGAGAUCCUGUUUGGCAUUAAGUUGUCGGUCAGGGGAUACCCAUCGUUUACUGUGAAAAAAUUAGAGUGUUUAAAGCAGGCUUAAGCCGUUGCAUAUAUUAGUAUGGAAUAAUGAGAUAGGUCUUUGGUACUAUUUUGUUGGUUUGUGCACCAGAGUAAUCAUUAAUAGGGACAGUUGGGGCUAUUCGUAUUCCAUUGUCAGAGGUGAAAUUCUUGGAUUUCUGGAAGACGAACUACUGCGAAAGCAUUUAGCAAGGAUGUUUUCAUUAAUCAAGAACGAAAGU